rnacentral:rRNA from 1 species
CGUAGUCAACCUGCCCUCGAGCCGAGAAUAAUCUCGGGAAACUGAGGCUAAUGUUCGAUAGAUCAAGAUUCCUGGAAUGGGUUUUGGUCUAAAUGGCGUAACAGCAUCUUGUUAUUGCCGCUCGAGGAUGGGACUGCGGCCGAUCAGGCUGUUGGUGGGGUAAAGGCCCACCAAACCAGUAACCGGUACGGGCUUUGAGAGAAGGAGCCCGGAGAUGGACACUGAGACAAGGGUCCAGGUCCUACGGGGCGCAGCAGGCGCGAAACCUUCGCAAUGCGCGCAAGCGCGACGAGGUUAUUCUGAGUGAUUCCCGCUGAGGGAAUCUUUUCUUAGAUCUAAAAAGUCUGGGGAAUAAGGGGAGGGCAAGUCUGGUGUCAGCCGCCGCGGUAAUACCAGCUCCUCGAGUGGUCAGGGCGUUUAUUGGGCCUAAAGCAUCCGUAGCCUGCUCAGUAGGUCUCCUGUUAAAUCCAACGGCUCAACCGUUGGUCUGCAGGAGAUACCGCUGGGCUAGGAGGCGGGAGAGGCGGACGGUACUCCGAGGGUAGGGGUAAAAUCCUUUGAUCCCCGGAAGACCACCAGUGGCGAAGGCGGUCCGCCAGAACGCGCUCGACGGUGAGGGAUGAAAGCUGGGGGAGCGAACCGGAUUAGAUACCCGGGUAGUCCCAGCUGU